UACGUAGGGAGCAAGCGUUGUUCGGAAUCACUGGGCGUAAAGGGCGUGUAGGCGGUCAAGUAAGUGGAAUGUGAAAAUGCCCCCGGCUCACCCCGGGGGACCUGCAUCCCAAACUGCUUGGCUUGAGUAUGGGAGAGGAUGAGGGAAUUCCUGGUGUAGCGGUGAAAUGCGUAGAUAUCAGGAGGAACACCGGUGGCGAAGGCGCUCAUCUGGCCCAAUACUGACGCUGAGGCGCGAAAGCUAGGGGAGCAAACGGG
rnacentral:rRNA from 1 species